GGGGGUGUGGCUCAGUGGUAGAGCACUUGCAUAGCAUGUAUGUGUCCCUGGAUUCCAUUUCUAGCACCCCCU
rnacentral:tRNA from 1 species